rnacentral:rRNA from 1 species
GACGGAAGGUGCAAGCGUUGCUCGGAAUCACUGGGCGUAAAGGGUGCGUAGGCGGCUUGGUGGGUCUGGUGUGAAAGCCCCGGGCUCAACCUGGGAACGGCGCGCGAAACGGGAGGGCUGGAGUUCGGGAGAGGAGAGUGGAAUUCCCAGUGUAGAGGUGAAAUUCGUAGAUAUUGGGAAGAACACCGGUGGCGAAGGCGGCUCUCUGGACCGAGACUGACGCUGAGGCGCGAAAGCGUGGGGAGCAAACAGG